rnacentral:lncRNA from 1 species
UCAAGCCCUAAGAUGGAUAAUUCUUUCAGCGCAGGCUUUUCCAAAUUCUAUUUGUGAAGAGGGCUUUCUCCUUUAGUAACUUCUCUUCUCGUCUCUCAAAAUUUCGAAAACACACCUUACCUUGCGAGCCUAAUAAGAGAGGCCAAGGCUAAAAGACCUAAGACUUACGACACUGAUUCAGCAGAGCAAAAUCAGUGCGCUGCUGGAUUUGCUCGUCACUGCUCUUCAGGUCCUUUCUCAUGGCCCGUCGUCUCUCUCUCUCGGCGCUUACCGUCACCUCUCCCUGGCCGAGAUGGCUCGAAAGAAUAGCCCUCCGGCUCGGAGUCCGGCCUCACCUUGUCCCGGAGAUGGCGAGGCAAGUCCUCAAGGAGCACGACGCCGCGUUUGCGAGAAGGCCCCACUACUCCUUCGUGCCUCGCCUGCCUCCUCAGCCACAACUUGACCUCAUCUUUCGGCGAGCGAUGGAAGAUGCUGCGGCGAGUGAGAGUGAGCGCCGCGGAGCUCUUCACGGCCUCCAAAGUCAGCCACUUGGAGCUGGGAGCGUUUGGAUCGAUCGUCGAGUUGAUCUCAGCUCCAUGCUGCACGAGUACUUCACGAACCUCAUGACGAGCGUGUUGAUCGGGAGGAAGUUCUACGGUACCGACGAGCCGCUCACUCCCGAGGCCGAGGACUACAAGGAGUCGGAUCGUAGCGAAAGAAUCCAGAUGGCUCUUUGCGGGUGAUUACAUCCCUGCGCUGCGGUGGCUGGACACGCUCAGGACGCAAAAUCGUCUCAAGAAUGAGGUCUUACCAGCAAGAGCUCGCUUUCUCAAAGCAGUCAUCGAGGAGCACACGGAAGGCUUCGAUCCAGGAAAUCCCCGGGACUUUGUCGACGUGAUGCUGACUCUGGGAGGCGAAAACAAGCUCAGCGACAACCGCUGCUCCAGGUAGAAAGAAAAAGCUUACCUUGUUCUUCGUACUUUGUUCUUUCUCACGUAAGCUUGCGGCACUCUAACUUCCAGGACGACGAUCGAAUGGGCCAUCUCGGAGCUGAUCCUAAACCCCAGAAUCCAGGGGAGAGCUCACGAGGAGCUGGACAGAGUCGUGGGAAGAGAUCGCUCUCUGGAGGAGUGGGAUCUAAAAGACCUGCCUUGCAUCACACCACAGUCCUCGUUAACGUCUGGGCAAUCCAUCACGACCCAAGCGUCUGGAGCGACCCCGAGCUCUCCCCCCGAGCGAUUCCUGGGCAGCGACCACAGCGUGCUGGGGAAUGACUUCGAUCUCCUGCCCUACUCGUCGGGGCGGCGCCGCUGCGUCGAAUCCCCGUGUCAAGCUCACCUUCGCCUACCUCUUGCAUCGAUGGAGCUGGCGAUCGCCGCCUGGGAAGAGCGCGCAAUUGUCUAUCGCUAAAACCCUAAGAUCCUCUCAUUUUGAUUUCAA